CCCCACCCCCACCCCCGCAUAGCAGACUAGGGCACCGAUUUCUGCCCAGCCUGGGGUCAGCCCGCUCGGUGAGGAGCGUGGGGCGGAUGCGAACGCGGGGGCUGGGGGGUGACGGUGAAGAGCCGUGCACACGCGGGCCCGAGAGUGUGCCGCUGCGGGUGUCUGUGAACACGUUUGCACAUGCACGGCGCUCGCGUGCAUCCUCCCUGUCCCGGUGCUGAGCGUGGGUAAGCCCCAGCGGAGCCUCCCCGAGUUGUGAAGGACACGCUUGGUCGGAGUGAGUGCGCACUCCCGAUGCGCGGGGGCAGCGCGGCGCAUCCACAAACCGAGUUCUUGUGAAGUUACGAUACGGCGCGAACUCUUUAAUGCCGGAGAGUGGCUUGCAUGGCAAUUUACCAAGGAAAGAUUAUUUUAUAUAUAAGAAAGAUUUCAUAUAUAUAUAUAUAAAUUAAUAGGCUGUUAGCAAGGAUUAGGUUGUUUAUUCACUGAAGUAGCCCUUGUUCAGUCUCCUCCUCAUGCCACAAAAUAGAAAGGUCCCCUGCUGCUUUCUGUUAAAUGAAUGUCCCAAGAAUAACACCACCACAACCUACUGGAAAAGGAGAGUCGUUUCCCCGAACCCGAGGUACGUUGCCAUUCCCUUCUGGCAGGAAAGGAAGGAGGGCGAGUGUCCAGGGCGUGAUUGUAGACUGAGGCAAGCCCGGGCGAGUGCGUGUCUGCUGACCUGCACCGCUCCCCGCUCCCGCGCUUGGCUCUUUCAUGGGGGUAGGUCCUGCCUUUGAGCGGUUGGAAGGAAAGGAUGCCAACAAAAAUGGCUAAUCCCUUUCCAGCUGCAGUAAAUUGAAGACUGGCCAAAGCCGAGCGAAAACCGCUGCAGUUGAAAUGAUUUUAGUAUCACGUCUGCCGCUGAGAAUGGAGCGGCAGUGUAUAAAAGGACCUGUGGAUCAAUGAAAAAGAGUAUAGUGUAUCUGAAUAUUAAUACGGUAUUGCAUAUGUACUUCCCACCCCUCCCCCCUUUUUCCUCCAGAUCUGCAGAAUUGAAACGAAAUGUUUUGAGCUCUUCAAGCUGACUCAUCAGAAUCCUGGAGCCUUUAAAAAAUGACGGUAUCUAUCAAGAAAACAAAGCUUGAAUAUGUUUUCUUACAAGAGAGUGAGGUUAUAAAGGGUCAUUUCUUUCUCAUGCAGAAGACUGAUUUCGUUCUCAUGCCUGACUUAAAUGAAGGAGCAUGGAAAGUGGUCUACUCCUCAAGGCAGGAAAAAACCAUAACAAAACAAAUCUGAGGGACAGCAGAAAUGGGAAGCUCUUCCCAUGAUGAGAGACACCAAAUGGAAAGUAAGCUUUUCUUGAGAGCUACACCUAUGUUUCCCUUGUCAUCUGAAACCACUGAUUGUAGCAAUGGAUGAAGAUUCUGGAAGGAGAAACUGAAAUUUGAAAGUUGUGGACAUGUCUGUUAUCAAAAUGUUGAGCAAUGAAUGCAGAUGACAAACUAAAGAGAAGUAGACACAAAUCCUUCAAGAAGCUUGGAUGCAAAAUGAGAGAGACAGGACAAUAGCUCAGAAGUUUAGGGUUUGUGGGAGAAUAAAGUGAAACCAGAAAGAGAGACUUCUUUUGAGGAUUUUUUCUCCUCCUUGCCAGAGAGGCCACUGAUGUGCAAUCGAUUUAUAUCCUGUGCUUCUAGUGGCCCAUGACCAAAUGGUGUGAAGGUCUCACCGCACUGCGCACCAACUUCAACUUAGAAUUGGACUUGGCUCUUUUCCUGGCAUGACCACGGUUUGAUGUUUACCUCUAAGAUUCUCCUCUUAGUUUAUUUUUUCCUGAUUUUAGAAUCUCUUGAGUAUAGUUACUGUUAGACUCUGUGGACUCCUUGUAUGUGUGAGCCACAGCAGAGAGGGUGGCCCAGUCUUAGCCUUCUGCUCAGGCCCUGAAACUGUGUGCUUCUAGGGGUGAGGAGUUCUCAGUGCUAGUGUGGGAGUAUGAGAGGAGGGGCCAAGACAGGAGAGAAGGGGGAGAAUGAGGUGAUGGUGGGGAGAAGGCCUUGGAAAGAAGGGGUAAUGGGAGAAAAGGAGGAAACAAAAUCCAGAAAGAGAGAAAAUGAUUAUCAUCAUCACAUUUACUAAUUCAUUAAUUAGUAGAUUUCAUAUUUCUAAUGUUCAUUUAACUAUAAAAGUUGCAUAAUAAAAAGGAACUGGAGUUUAGGUUUUACAUUUUAUUCUUUAUGAUUUUGCUUGGUCUCUCAUUUAAAAUUUAAAAUAAAGUAAAAUUAUAACAACUAGGGUAAUGUUUUUAUUAGAAUUAAUUUUGUUAAUAUGAAAAAGAUACAAUGGACUUCUACAUUUUUUUGUGACUUUAUUCUUUGGAUCCAUGCUAUUAUACUACCAGAGUUUCAACUAGGUUUACAGAAUAGAAAAGGCAUCUGGUUUCAUCUUGGGGACUGGCCAGUCAUUUUUUUCCCAAAAGUUCUUCAUUAAGGAUUUUUCGUGACCCAGAUUUUGGCUUAAGAACCUGAUUCUUUGAAUAUAUUGAGAUUAUUUCUUUUUCUCUUGUUAUCAUUUCUUGAAACCAACAGUGCAAGACUGAUGCACAGUAGCAGUUAUCUAUUUAAAUACAGUGGUAAAUGACUAACAGAGACCAGAAUGUUAAAGAUCUGUGUGACUGGAGAAAUCUCCCUACUUCAUGUAGUUAAGCCCCUGCUGGGACCAGUUGCUUGGUGUUCUGAAAUGAGACUAA